CCUACGGGAGGCAGCAGUGGGGAAUUUUGGACAAUGGGCGCAAGCCUGAUCCAGCAAUGCCGCGUGCAGGAUGAAGGCCUUCGGGUUGUAAACUGCUUUUGUACGGAACGAAACGGUCUGCCCUAAUACGGUGGGCUAAUGACGGUACCGUAAGAAUAAGCACCGGCUAACUACGUGCCAGCAGCCGCGGUAAUACGUAGGGUGCGAGCGUUAAUCGGAAUUACUGGGCGUAAAGCGUGCGCAGGCGGUUAUGUAAGACAGAUGUGAAAUCCCCGGGCUCAACCUGGGACCUGCAUUUGUGACUGCAUAGCUAGAGUACGGUAGAGGGGGGAUGGAAUUCCGCGUGUAGCAGUGAAAUGCGUAGAUAUGCGGAGGAACACCGAUGGCGAAGGCAAUCCCCUGGACCUGUACUGACGCUCAUGCACGAAAGCGUGGGGAGCAAACAGGAUUAGAUACCCUGGUAGUCCACGCCCUAAACGAUGUCAACUGGUUGUUGGGUCUUNACUGACUCAGUAGAGACGACGCGUGAGUGACGCCGNGGGUAAGGUACGGCCGCGAGUAGUUAACGUUACGAAGAAGUUAGACGGCGNGAGACGNGCGACGGACGACGACGAGGGAGGAGG
rnacentral:rRNA from 1 species